UCUGUGUGUGAGAAGACAGGUCAGACCGCUCCGCCGAUGCCAGUGAUUGCUCCUGGGACCACGGUGAGUUUUAUUUGAAUUGACAUUACUUGCUAGUCUUAACAUUUGAGUGUCAUCAUGCUAACAAGACAUUGGAAAUGAUCUUUGGUGCAGCGUAACUCCAGACAAGCAUCGCACGAUCCUUCUCCAGCUACCGACACGAGCCACCCCGCUCCUACACCUCCUGGAUCUUGGUAAGUUUAUCUAGUGUUUUGCUUAACACAUGCAUAAAGACCUAGACUUAGCUUUAUUUCCUCCAAUGCUUACCAUAAUGACCUAGACUUAGCUUCUUCUCCUCCAAAAUGACUUAAUAAGCUUACUGACCUCCAAAACCAUCCAUUUUACCUAAGUUAGCUCUAAAACGAUCUGUACUUAGCUUACUUAUGUCAAAAAUUGCAUAAUUAGCUUAGUUAGCUCAUAGACGAUUCAUUUUACCUAAGUUAGCUCCAAAAUGACCCAUCUUACCUAGGUUAGCUUAUAAAUGAUCCAGUUUAUCCAAGUUAGCUCUAAAAUGACCCAAUUUACCUAGAGUAGCUCCUAAACGAUCCAUUUCACCUAAGUUAGCUAAAAACGAUCCAUUUCACCUAAAUUAGCUCUUAAAUGAUCCAUUUCACCUAAGUUUGCUCAAAAACGAUCCAUUUCACCUAAAUUAGCUCUUAAAUGAUCCAUUUCGCCUAAGUUUGCUCAAAAAUGAUCCAUUUCACCUUAGUUAGCUCAAAAACGAUCCAUUUCACCUAAAUUAGCUCUUAAAUGAUCCAUUUCACCUAAGUUUGCUAAAAAACGAUCCAUUUCACCUUAGUUAGCUCAAAAACGAUCCAUUUCACCUUAGUUAGUUCAGAAACGUGGCAUUUCACCUUAGUUAGCUCAUAAAUGACCCAUUUCAACUAAGUUAGCUCAAAAACGAUCCAUUUUACCUUAGUUAGCUCAAAAACGAUUCAUUUCACCUUAGUUAGCUCAAAAACGAUCCAUUUCACCUUAGUUAGCUCAAAAAUGAUGCCCUUCACCUUAGUUAGCUCAUAAACGACCCAUUUCAACUAUGUUAGCUCAUAAAUGAUACAUUCCAACUAAGUUAGCUCAUAAACAACCCAUUUCAACUUAGUUAGCUCAUAAAUGAUCCAUUCCACCUAAGUUAGCUCAUAAAUGAUCCAUUCCACCUAAGUUAGGUCAUAAAUGACAUAUACUUCUUGUUAUAGUCUUCUUCUUGUUCUAUUCACCAAUUUCUAACUUCACAUUUACCAUUUUGCAGAUUUCACUCACUUCAUGGAAGCUAGCUUGCUAGGAUGGAGUGCUUGCUUUUUCUUUGUUAAAACUUUGCAUUGUAUCUAGCUUGCUAUGAUAGAACUUGCUAUGUUGAUGAAACUUUGCUAUGUAAUAUGUAUAUGGAACAAUGUGUAUGGAUGGAACUUGUUAUAUAUGUUGAUGAAACUUUGCUAUGUUAUAUAUAUGUAUAUGGAAUUAUGUGCUGGAUAUGUGAUAUGUGUGCUGGAUAUGUUUGUUGUUAAAUAUGUGAUAUAUUUGCUGUGAAAAUUGUUGGAUUAAGAAAAAACAGAAAAAAAAGAGACAAU
rnacentral:lncRNA from 1 species